CAAGGAUUAGCGAGAAAUACCUCGACACAGCGGACGAGCCCUCCUUGACAGACGCAUUUAUUUUUCCCAUCUCGCUCAACAUGAACGACGACUUCUACUGCGGUCUGCACCCGGUCUCCUGGUUCAUCCUCUUCGCAAACGUGGCCCUCAUCAUUAUCGAGUGGCAGUUUGUCAUCACUCGCUUCGUCCAAAUUAACAUGCCGCAAAAAGAGAACAAGACGGGACCCUAGAGGAGGACAUCUGAUCUUGAUGAUGCACCUGAUGCCCUCUAAUUUAGAAGCCCCUUUAUUCACGAGUCAACGAACAGAGCUGAGAAGGCAUUUUUUAAGUCUUGAUCACCAGACUGGAUUCUUGGCCCCAAAGCAGUGGAGGAUCACUGUGAAGAAGGUACAGCAGCGCUGGAAGCAGAUGAAGAAGAAGAAAAGAUGGUGAUGGAGAGAGACAAGGUGAAGAUAGAGAAAGCCGCUGUUCAUCCAGUCCUCCACCGAGGAGAAACACCAUCACUUCCUCUUCAGGAGAAAAGAGAACCUCUUCACAUAGUGUAACUUUUGCCUGCCCUCUGACCCCUCAUGUUACCUCCCUUUAAAUUUAGCAUGUUAGUUUCUGUCAUUUAGUGACGCUUAACUAAAACCUUUUCUUUUUCUUGUCUAUACUUAAUACUACUCUGUACAUACAGUAACACCUUAAUAAGAUAUAUACAGAUAUAUAUAAGAUAAUAUAUAUACAGAUAAUAAUAUAACCUUUUGUUAAUCAACAACAUUUAUUAUAAAGGAAUUCCCAGUGCUCCAUUGUUGUAACAUGACGUGUUCCUACAGUACAUCCACCUACCAGCUUCUCUUCAAUAAAUAACUUAACAAUGCAA